rnacentral:rRNA from 1 species
GGUUAAGUGACUAAGCGUACACGGUGGAUGCCUAGGCAGUCAGAGGCGAUGAAGGACGUGCUAAUCUGCGAUAAGCGUCGGUAAGCUGAUAUGAAGCGUUAUAACCGACGAUUUCCGAAUGGGGAAACCCAGUGCAAUUCGUUGCACUAUCGUUAAGUGAAUACAUAGCUUAACGAAGCGAACCAGGGGAACUGAAACAUCUAAGUACCCUGAGGAAAAGAAAUCAACCGAGAUUCCCCUAGUAGCGGCGAGCGAACGGGGAGCAGCCCAGAACCUUAAUCAGCGUAUGUGUCAGAGGAACGGUCUGGAAAGUCCGGCGAUACAGGGUGAUAGCCCCGUACUUGAAAAUGCAUAUGCUGUGAGUUCGAUGAGUAGGGCGGGACACGUGACAUCCUGUCUGAAUAUGGGGGGACCAUCCUCCAAGGCUAAAUACUCCUGACUGACCGAUAGUGAACCAGUACCGUGAGGGAAAGGCGAAAAGAACCCCGGCGAGGGGAGUGAAAUAGAACCUGAAACCGUGUACGUACAAGCAGUGGGAGCCUCUUUUAUGGGGUGACUGCGUACCUUUUGUAUAAUGGGUCAGCGACUUAUAUUUUGUAGCAAGGUUAACCGAAUAGGGGAGCCGUAGGGAAACCGAGUCUUAACUGGGCGUCAAGUUGCA